UACAGAGGGUGCGAGCGUUGUUCGGAAUUAUUGGGCGUAAAGCGCACGUAGGCGGCUUUCUAAGUCAGGGGUGAAAUCCUGGAGCUCAACUCCAGAACUGCCUUUGAUACUGGGAAGCUUGAGUCCGGAAGAGGUGAGUGGAACUCCGAGUGUAGAGGUGAAAUUCGUAGAUAUUCGCAAGAACACCAGUGGCGAAGGCGGCUCACUGGCCCGGUACUGACGCUGAGGUGCGAAAGCGUGGGGAGCAAACAGG
rnacentral:rRNA from 1 species